GCACUGCUGAGGAGUCCCACAAUGGGACGAAACGGCCGUCAAGCAGUAU
rfam:Schistosoma mansoni strain Puerto Rico chromosome 3, complete genome